rnacentral:rRNA from 1 species
UACGUAGGGGGCAAGCGUUGUCCGGAAUCAUUGGGCGUAAAGCGCGUGUAGGCGGUUCGAUAAGUCUGCUGUGAAAGUCCAGGGCUCAACCCUGGAAAGCCGGUGGAUACUGUCAGACUAGAGUGCGGAAGAGGCGAGUGGAAUUCCCGGUGUAGCGGUGAAAUGCGCAGAUAUCAGGAGGAACACCGGUGGCGAAGGCGGUUCUCUGGGCGACAACUGACGCUGAGGAGCGAAAGCGUGGGGAGCGAACAGG